rnacentral:rRNA from 1 species
AGUGAACGCUGGCGGUAGGCCUAACACAUGCAAGUCGAACGGCGGCACAGUAAGAGCUUGCUCUUACGGGUGGCGAGUGGCGGACGGGUGAGGAAUACAUCGGAAUCUACUUUUUCGUGGGGGAUAACGUAGGGAAACUUACGCUAAUACCGCAUACGACCUACGGGUGAAAGCAGGGGAUCUUCGGACCUUGCGCGAUUGAAUGAGCCGAUGUCGGAUUAGCUAGUUGGCGGGGUAAAGGCCCACCAAGGCGACGAUCUGUAGCUGGUCUGAGAGGAUGAUCAGCCACACUGGAACUGAGACACGGUCCAGACUCCUACGGGAGGCAGCAGUGGGGAAUAUUGGACAAUGGGCGCAAGCCUGAUCCAGCCAUACCGCGUGGGUGAAGAAGGCCUUCGGGUUGUAAAGCCCUUUUGUUGGGAAAGAAAAGCAGCAGGUUAAUACCCCGCUGUUCUGACGGUACCCAAAGAAUAAGCACCGGCUAACUUCGUG